ACGUAGGGGGCCAGCGUUGUCCGGAAUUACUGGGCGUAAAGCGCGCGCAGGCGGCCUAGUAAGCGGUGGGUGAAAUUCCAGGGCUCAACCCUGGAUCUGCUCACCGAACUGCUAGGCUAGAGUUCGGGAGAGGGCAGUGGAAUUCCUGGUGUAGCGGUGGAAUGCGUAAAUAUCAGGAGGAACACCCGUGGCGAAGGCUGCUGCCUGGAACGAUACUGACGCUGAGGCGCGAAAGCUAGGGGAGCGAACGG
rnacentral:rRNA from 1 species